AUAUAUAUAUAUCCACACUAAUCCAACAACAUCAUUUCAAAUAACAAAGCUAAAGAUAGAUCCAAGAAAGAGAGCUUUUGAAGAUUACUACUCAAUAAAAACACUGCAUCUCAAUUCUCAAGUGAAAUUCAAGAACUGACAAGCAUUUAUCUUUUUCUACACCGGUCUAUUAUGUCCCCCCCCCCCCCCCAAUCACCACAAUGCUUUUAGUGACUUUUCCCAAUGCAGCCUUCUUUAUUACCACCAACCCCAAAUUUAUUCCUUCCCACAUCCAAAAGGUGAAGCAGAUCUUCUUCCUAAAUCUCCCAGCAUUCUUCCAACAAGAGUAACAAAGCAAAAGAAAUGCUACCAAUCUGGAGCAAUUGUGGCCUUCCAAUCUCUCUAACUGGGAUCUCUUGUUCUCUUCCUCUCUCACAAGAGAUGGAUGAUCAUGAAAGGAGGAGGGAGACCAUGAAAAGGAAGAAAUUUCAAGAAGUGUUGCAGCUACAUGAGAUGAUUAGGGUCCAAAAGGGAGAGGCUUCAGCCAAUGAAAGUGAGAACCGUGAAGGGGAUGCUGCAACAAAUGAGUUUUGUCCAUGCAUUUCUCUACCCUGUACUGCAAAAGCUGCAUAACUACUAUAUUUCCUUAGUACUAUUAGGUUCUAGGUUUCAUUUUUUCUUCUAUUGUUGCUUUUCAUUAUGAAUGUUGUGAGAUAUGGGAACUUCUCUAUUGGGAUUGGAUGCCAUAAAAAUCUUCUAUCCUCCCUUUUUUGGGGUAAUUCUUCCCAUGUAAGACAAAGAGAACAGAGAGGUGGAAUGUUAUAGAAAGUAUAACAUCUUACAA